AGGCUGCCAGAAUUCCACCCUUGUCUCAUUCCGAGAUUGUGUGCUGAGGGUUUUCAACUGCAUCUCUAAAGGGAAGGCCAAAGAAAGAGCAACAGGAAAGGAUGGUAAAAAGGGGGUAGAAAGGAAGAAGGAAGGGAAGAAAAAAGGGAAAACAGCAAGCUCUCUUUCCAGAGCCACACAUUUUUUUCUGUUUGCUCAGUGGCAGUCUGUUAAAGAAAUACUUCAUUGUCACUGAACACAGAGUCAUUAAAGGCACCUUGGAAAUUUGGACCCUUUUACUAGAAUCAGGGCUUAAAUAGCAACUUAAUUUAUGACACUUCUCGAGGCUGAUGGCGUUUUUGCUCUAAGGCACACAGAGCACUGCAUUAUCUGUCAUUUUCAUUAGAUUCAAGCUACAGCUGGGCCAAAAAGACUUAGUUCUAGCAUAUGUGCUCAAAAUGGCCAAGCUGCGAUUGUCCAAAUUCACCCUUUCAAGAUUGCAUUACUGAACAACUGGAGCCAAAGCUAGAAAUUGGAGAGAGCAAAGCGCCUGAAUUCCACUUGGAAAAUGGCAAACACCAUAGGCUCUGAAGAUUGAAGCGUAUUAUCAUGACUAACUCAAAGGGUCAGAGGAGACACUGGCUUCCACCAGCAAGCUCAACGUCUUUUGGCACAUCUGAGGAAUUCACAGGGCAAAAGGUACAGAAGGAAACUGUGCUCCAGGGUGAGACAUGUCAUCAGAAGGCUGUCAUCUGGACCUUGGAGGAAGGACAGCAGACCUGCCUUGCAAGAAAUGUUAAAAGAAGUGCUUUAGAGAGCAGGGAAAUUCUAUAGGUCAGACACUUGGAUCUACAUAAAAAAAGGAAGAAACCAAAGGAGAAAUAAGUGAAGGCAUGGAAACCUUGUUCCACACAUUGCCUGGUGCCCUGUCCAGCGCUGCAAGGUGCACUGCGUCUCCUCUGCCCAGCAAGCCACAAGCCCCUCCAGGGUGAGAGGAGAGCCUUCCCUUCCCUUGGUCCUCCCUUCGACACAGGGAGCUGGAGCUGGACAGCCCCAUAGGCACUCAGGGCUUGAAGAAGAUAUCUAGAAAUGUCAAAGCAGAAGAGCCUCGGAGAUAAUCUGAACUAUUUCUGAGUUUAUAUAAGGGAAAACUGAGACUGGAGAGAACUAACAUGUCUAAUAUUACAAUGGAAACUUGUAAUAAAACCACAAAUUGAGUCAA
ensembl:lncRNA LINC01791 long intergenic non-protein coding RNA 1791